rnacentral:lncRNA from 1 species
UUGAUAAGUUAUUUAUAUAAAAUGAGUCCUGUACAGUUCUUUGCUAACAUAAAAAAUUAUGUUAGCCAGCUUUACUUGGUAAGAUUGUCUUCCAACUUUAAGCAUAUAUAAAGAUACAGAAGCAUGAAACUACUCUCAAAUGAUAUCUACCAGUAACUACAAAGUGUCUUAAUAGUUUUAAAACUUGGAGCUAGUUUGUAAAGCUCUCUUAACUUAUUCUAAUCAUUUAAAGCAUAGCCUUCAGUUUGGGAACUUUUUAGGUUAAAUCAUCUAUUUUCUCCUCUUACUGUCAACCUUUUUUGUUGAGACGCUGGACUAUCAUCCUUUUGAUUCUCAGUCACCUUAAUCACAACAAGUGCCUUAUUCUUAAAGCCUGUCUUUGAAACUCUCAUCCCUAUCCAACUCAGUGAAAUCC